AUUGAACGCUGGCGGCAUGCUUUACACAUGCAAGUCGAACGGUAACAGGCCGCAAGGUGCUGACGAGUGGCGAACGGGUGAGUAAUGCAUCGGAACGUGCCCAGUCGUGGGGGAUAACGCAGCGAAAGCUGCGCUAAUACCGCAUACGAUCUCUGGAUGAAAGCGGGGGACCGAAAGGCCUCGCGCGAUUGGAGCGGCCGAUGUCAGAUUAGGUAGUUGGUGGGGUAAAGGCCCACCAAGCCAACGAUCUGUAGCUGGUCUGAGAGGACGACCAGCCACACUGGGACUGAGACACGGCCCAGACUCCUCCGGGAGGCAGCAGUAGGGAAUUUUGGACAAUGGGCGCAAGCCUGAUCCAGCAAUGCCGCGUGCAGGAAGAAGGCCUUCGGGUUGUAAACUGCUUUUGUACGGAACGAAACGGUCCGGGUUAAUACCCUGGGCUAAUGACGGUACCGUAAGAAUAAGCACCGGCUAACUACGUGCCAGCCGCCGCGGUAACAC
rnacentral:rRNA from 1 species